rnacentral:rRNA from 1 species
UGGGGAAUUUUGGACAAUGGGGGAAACCCUGAUCCAGCCAUUCCGCGUGAGUGAAGAAGGCCUUCGGGUUGUAAAGCUCUUUCGGCAGGAACGAAACGGUUUGGGCUAAUACCCCAGACUACUGACGGUACCUGAAGAAGAAGCACCGGCUAACUACGUGCCAGCAGCCGCGGUAAUACGUAGGGUGCGAGCGUUAAUCGGAUUUACUGGGCGUAAAGCAUGCGCAGGCGGCGGUUCAAGUCAGGUGUGAAAUCCCCGAGCUUAACUUGGGAAUUGCGCUUGAAACUAGAUCGCUAGAGUACGGCAGAGGGGGGUAGAAUUCCACGUGUAGCAGUGAAAUGCGUAGAGAUGUGGAGGAACACCGAUGGCGAAGGCAGCCCCCUGGGCCUGUACUGACGCUCAUGCAUGAAAGCGUGGGGAGCAAACAGGAUUAGAUACCCUAGUAGUCCCUGAGCGGGCUGGCAAGGCGCAU